UACGUAGGUUGCAAGCGUUAAUCGGAAUUACUGGGCGUAAAGCGUGCGCAGGCGGUGAUGUAAGACAGAUGUGAAAUCCCCGGGCUCAACCUGGGAACUGCAUUUGUGACUGCAUCGCUGGAGUGCGGCAGAGGGGGAUGGAAUUCCGCGUGUAGCAGUGAAAUGCGUAGAUAUGCGGAGGAACACCGAUGGCGAAGGCAAUCCCCUGGGCCUGCACUGACGCUCAUGCACGAAAGCGUGGGGAGCAAACAGG
rnacentral:rRNA from 1 species